CGUAGGGUGCGAGCGUUAAUCGGAAUUACUGGGCGUAAAGCGUGCGCAGGCGGUUUGUUAAGAUAGGCGUGAAAUCCCCGGGCUCAACCUGGGAACUGCGCUUAUGACUGGCAAGCUAGAGUACGGCAGAGGGGGGUGGAAUUCCACGUGUAGCAGUGAAAUGCGUAGAGAUGUGGAGGAACACCAAUGGCGAAGGCAGCCCCUUGGGUCGAUACUGACGCUCAUGCACGAAAGCGUGGGUAGCAAACAGGAUUAGAUACCCUGGUAGUCCACGCCCUAAACGAUGUCAACUAGGUGUUGGAUGGGUAAAACCAUUUAGUACCGGAGCUAACGCGUGAAGUUGACCGCCUGGGGAGUACGGCCGCAAGGUU
rnacentral:rRNA from 1 species